CUCGAUCCGACCUAUGCACAGCAGUUAAUGCAAGCUUGUCCUCAAAAUGUUGACCCCAGAAUCGCCAUUAACAUGGAUCCUGCAACCCCACAAACAUUUGAUAACAUGUAUUUCCAGAAUCUAGUUGCUAAGAAGGGGUUGUUUACUUCAGAUGAAGUGCUCUUUACAAAUAAAGCAUCUCAAGCUACUGUGAUUGAUUUUGCUAACAACCCUGGUGAUUUUAGUGGAGCUUUUGUUACAGCAAUAAGGAAACUUGGAAGGGUGGGAGUCAAGACUGGUAAUGCAGGACAGAUAAGGGUUGACUGCACAGCCUUUAAUUCUUGAAUGGAAAAUGAGGUUCAAUAAGGGGCUAUCAUUGGACAACAAAAUAAAAGUGACCCAAAUUCUUUGUGUCUUCUCCUUCAUAUAUUUUUUAUAACAAUAAAAAAGAAUUAAUUUCCAUGUUAUUGAGUUGUUAACAUGCCAUUGCCAACAACCUAUCUUUGUAUGUGUCUUUUGUCUGAGAAAGAAAUGGAUGUUUGCUUCCUUGUUUAUGAUAAUUCUCAAAAUGUCAAUAUGUAUUCCACCUCUAAUUUUUUGUUGAUCAAAUUUCCCUAAAGGGAUCCUGUUCUAAAAAGAAGUUUUUUCCUGAAUGAUUUUUGUUAUUUGAUUUCAUGUUGAACACUUAUUUGAGCACGAGAUUAAAGUUUUGACAAAUCAAUAUAUGCAUAUUUAAGACAAGACUUGUUAAUGUGAUUGGAAGAGAGAUUGAGAGAACUUAAUUUUUCAUUAUAAUGAACUUAUGUGCGUCAAUGACACAUAAUUGUCACUGAAAACAAGUUUAGUGAUGUUCAUCAGGUUAUUGACACUCGUGGAUCGCACUUUUCUCUCAAGGAUAUUGGACAACUUCAUUACUUUCUUGGUAUUGCAGUGCUGACUUACACUAGUGGUGUAUUAUUGACUCAGAAAAAAUAUGUUUCAGAUAUGUUAAAGGAGGUAAACAUGGCGAAUUGCAAAAAGGUUUUAACUCCAAUUACCAUAGUCAACUUCUUUACCUCUUCCUCCAACUCUCAAGUUGACAGCUCUUUGUAUCCGCGUAUUAUAGGCAAACUUCAUUAUCUAGCUUUCACACGUCCAGACAUUUAGAGUGCUCAUUAUGCCAUCUAGUUUUCCAUAGCCGAAUGAAGCAUGUCACCAUAUACUUCUCCAUUUUGUGCGAGAGCAAGUUGAAAGAAAACAACUUGAAAUUCAUCUUCAUGCAGCUGAUCAGAUGGCCCUCGGAAAGCUAUUGAUGGGAACUUGUACAAUUUGACCAUCAUAAAAGUUGCUACCAACUUGCGGGGCCAUAAUAGUGGC
rnacentral:lncRNA from 1 species